UUUCGCGUGCGCCAUGUCUGGUUCCUCCAGCGUCGCCGCUAUGAAGAAAGUGGUUCAACAGCUCCGGAUGGAGGCCGGGCUCAACCGUGUUAAAGUUUCCCAGGCAGCUGCAGACUUGAAACAAUUCUGUCUGCAGAAUGCUCAACAUGAUCCUCUGCUGACUGGAGUAUCUU